CUCGCACCUCAACCCAAGAAUCGCUGCUGCUUGUAGUGGCGGUUUAAACAGGGGUGCGCACAGCAAGGGGAUCUCGUCGCCUUUGGAGGGCUGUGGCCGUGCCCAUCAAAGUGAAUCUGGAGGUCCUACACCC
ensembl:snoRNA